rnacentral:rRNA from 1 species
GACGAACGCUGGCGGCGUGCUUAACACAUGCAAGUCGAACGAAGAGCGACGGAAGCUUGCUUCUAUCAAUCUUAGUGGCGAACGGGUGAGUAACGCGUAAUCAACCUGCCCUUCAGAGGGGGACAACAGUUGGAAACGACUGCUAAUACCGCAUACGAUCUAACCUCGGCAUCGAGGAUAGAUGAAAGGUGGCCUCUACAUGUAAGCUAUCACUGAAGGAGGGGAUUGCGUCUGAUUAGCUAGUUGGAGGGGUAACGGCCCACCAAGGCGAUGAUCAGUAGCCGGUCUGAGAGGAUGAACGGCCACAUUGGGACUGAGACACGGCCCAGACUCCUACGGGAGGCAGCAGUGGGGAAUCUUCCGCAAUGGACGAAAGUCUGACGGAGCAACGCCGCGUGAGUGAUGACGGCCUUCGGGUUGUAAAGCUCUGCUAAUCGGGACGAAAGGCCUUCUUGCGAAUAGUGAGAAGGAUUGACGGUACCGGAAUAGAAAGCCACGGCUAACUACGUG